rnacentral:rRNA from 1 species
UAAAGUAGCAAUACUUUUGGUGGCGACCGGCGCACGGGUGAGUAACGCGUAUGCAACCCAUCUAUCAGAGGGGAAUAACCCGGCGAAAGUCGGACUAAUACCGCAUAAAACAGGGGCACCGCAUGGUGAUAUUUGUUAAAGAAAUUCGCUGAUAGAUGGGCAUGCGUUCCAUUAGGUAGUUGGUGAGGUAACGGCUCACCAAGCCGACGAUGGAUAGGGGAACUGAGAGGUUGGUCCCCCACACUGGUACUGAGACACGGACCAGACUCCUACGGGAGGCAGCAGUGAGGAAUAUUGGUCAAUGGGCGAGAGCCUGAACCAGCCAAGUCGCGUGAAGGAAGAAGGAUCUAUGGUUCGUAAACUUCUUUUGCAGGGGAAUAAAGUGCAGGACGUGUCCUGUUUUGUAUGUACCCUGAGAAUAAGGAUCGGCUAACUCCGUGCCAGCAGCCGCGGUAAUACGGAGGAUCCGAGCGUUAUCCGGAUUUAUUGGGUUUAAAGGGUGCGUAGGUGGUUUGAUAAGUCAGCGGUGAAAGUUUGCAGCUUAACUGUAAAAAUGCCGUUGAAACUGUCGGACUUGAGUGUAAAUGAGGUAGGCGGAAUGCGUGGUGUAGCGGUGAAAUGCUCAGAUAUCACGAAGAACUCCGAUUG